GGCUCGGUGGGCCUAGUCUGACUCAGCACGCCGCGUGAGUGAGAAGGUUUUCGGAUCGUAAACUCUGUUGUUAGAGAAGAACAAGGAUGAGAGUAACUGUUCAUCCCUUGACGGUAUCUAACCAGAAAGCCACGGCUAACUACCUGCCAGCAGCCGCGGUAAUACGUAGGUGGCAAGCGUUGUCCGGAUUUAUUGGGCGUAAAGCGAGCGCAGGCGGUUUCUUAAGUCUGAUGUGAAAGCCCCCGGCUCAACCGGGGAGGGUCAUUGGAAACUGGGAGACUUGAGUGCAAAAGAGGAGAGUGGAAUUCCAUGUGUAGCGGUGAAAUGCGUAUAUAUAUGGAGGAACACCAGUGGCGAAGGCGGCUCUCUGGUCUGUAACUGACACUGAGGCUCGAAAGCGUGGGGAGCAAACAGGAUUAGAUAGCCUGGUAGUCCACGCCGUAAACAAUGAGUGCUAAGUGU
rnacentral:rRNA from 1 species